rnacentral:rRNA from 1 species
AUACAGAGGGUGCGAGCGUUAAUCGGAAUUACUGGGCGUAAAGCGCGCGUAGGCGGCUACUUAAGUCAGAUGUGAAAUCCCCGGGCUCAACCUGGGAACUGCAUCUGAUACUGGGUAGCUAGAGUUUUGGAGAGGGAAGUAGAAUUUCAGGUGUAGCGGUGAAAUGCAUAGAGAUCUGAAGGAAUACCAGUGGCGAAGGCGACUUCCUGGCCAAAAACUGACGCUGAGGUGCGAAAGCGUGGGUAGCAAACGGGAUUAGAAACCCGAGUAGUCC